rnacentral:rRNA from 1 species
UAGGGAAUAUUGGACAAUGGGCGAAAGCCUGAUCCAGCCAUGCCGCGUGAGUGAAGAAGGCCUUAGGGUUGUAAAGCUCUUUUAGUGGGGAAGAUAAUGACUGUACCCACAGAAAAAGCCCCGGCUAACUUCGUGCCAGCAGCCGCGGUAAUACGAAGGGGGCUAGCGUUGUUCGGAAUCACUGGGCGUAAAGCGGGUGUAGGUGGAUGUUUAAGUGAGGGGUGAAAGCCCAAGGCUCAACCUUGGAACGGCCUCUCAUACUGAGCAUCUAGAGUCUGGAAGGGGGAAAUGGAAUUCCGAGUGUAGAGGUGAAAUUCGUAGAUAUUCGGAGGAACACCAGUGGCGAAGGCGAUUUCCUGGUACAUGACUGACACUCAGACCCGAAAGUGUGGGGAUCAAACAGG